rnacentral:rRNA from 1 species
GACGAACGCUGGCGGCGUGCCUAACACAUGCAAGUCGAGCGGGAAGCUUACAGCGGAGACUUCGGUCGAAGCAGUAAGUGGAGAGCGGCGGACGGGUGAGUAACGCGUGAGUAACCUGCCUCAUGGAGGGGGAUAACACAGAGAAAUCUGUGCUAAUACCGCAUAACAUCGUUGAAUCGCAUGGUUUAACGAUCAAAACUCCGGUGCCAUGAGAUGGACUCGCGUCUGAUUAGCUAGUUGGCGGGAUAACAGCCCACCAAGGCGACGAUCAGUAGCCGAACUGAGAGGUUGAUCGGCCACAUUGGGACUGAGACACGGCCCAG